rnacentral:rRNA from 1 species
GGGAGCAACUCCGCGUGGAGGACGACGACCUUCGGGUAGUAAACUCCUUUUGGUCGGGAAGAUGAUGACGGUACCCCCCGAAUAAGCCCCGGCUAAAUCCGUGCCAGCAGCCGCGGUAAGACGGAGGGGGCAAGCGUUGUCCAUUACUCACUGGGCGUAAAGAGCACGUAGGCGGUCGCGUGCGUCGGUGCUGAAAGCUCCAGGCUUAUCCUGGCGAGGCGUGCCGAUAUGACGCGACUGGAGGCAGGCAGAGGGGGGCGGAAUUACUGCGUGUAGUGGUGAAAAGAGUAGAGAUCUGGAGGAACACCUCUGGCGCAAGCGGCCACCUGGGCCUGACCUGACGCUGAGGUGUGAAAAAGUGGGGAGCGAAAACGAUUAGUAUACCCGGGUAGUCCACGCAGUAAAAGAUGCCAGCUCGGUGUCUGGGGCCAUUACGGUGCUGGGUGCCGUAGCUCACGCGGUAAG